GUGGCGGGUUCCGAAGUCGCGUCUCUUCUCUGGGCCUCAGUCACCUCACCACUAAAGUGGGGACUGAGACCGAGAGCCCCGCAUGGGGCAGGGGCUGCGUCCAGCUCGAUUUGCUCGUAUCCUCCCCGGUGGAUAACGUCGUCAUUUUUCAGCUGCCGGGACAGGCCGAAGAGGAGUGAGACGCGGCCAGCUCUCCCCGUCACGACGAGCAAAGGACAGGACUUGGCGCAGGUGGUGAUUUCAGAAGCAUUUUUCCGUCUGAUUCGACGAUUUGGAGUAUUUGGGAGGCGGCGUGGCUGAGUGGAAAGACGUCGCGGCCGUCCAUCGGGAGACCCGCGGUGCUACUCCUGGCUCUGUCACUUGGCUGCUGGGUGAUCUUAGGCAAGUCGCUUAACCUACCUGGGCUUCAAUUUCCCCAUCUGUAAAAUGGGUAUAAUACCUGCUCUCCCUCCCUCUUCUCUCCCUCCCACGUGCAACGGAGACCGCAUCCGACCUGACUGCCUUGGACCUAUCCCGAUGCUUAACACGGUGCUCGGUGAUUGAUAAGUACCGUUAUUAUCAUUAUUAAUGAUGAUAAUAACUAUCAACGGGAAAUCUGAAACACAGAUACACGUGCCCCUAGUCGCAUAAAGCUUAGGUUUUCUAAGCCUGAUGCUCAAAUGAUGCUCUCACUCUUUGACACAGGGAUUCCAGCUCUGUCUAACUGUACCACUGUGACAGCAACUUAAGCAAAUAUACCCCUGGACACCACAUACGAAAACUAAAACUCCGUGCGCCGCACCGACAUAUUCCCGGCUCUACGCAAACACCGGUGUGAAUCCGACUCGGACGUUGGGUGACGGGGGGGGGGGGGGGGGGACGACACACCGAAGCGUAGACUCCUAAAAAGGCGCGUGUACGUUUCCCCCGACAGACGACAAAGGAGCAGACACAAGCAAAAAUCUGCCUUUCACUCAGGUUCGACGGGUCCCUCUUACAUUACACCGUGCCCCGGAGGUCGACAAUUUAGCCUCUUGGGGGUGGACCUUCCGUCAAAGAGGUCAAAUUUAGGACUAGACCGAGAGCGCGGUUAGGACAAUUUCGGCACGCCUCGGGAGCGAGCUGUUUCCAGAACACAGUCUUGCAGGUACUGCGAUAAAUCCAGACGGGAAGCCGGUGAAGACCGCCGUGGAUGCUAAAAUAUUCAAGCAGUCUUUGGACUCAUGCCUCGGUCGGUUUCUGAAAAUUACACCCCGAGUAUCAACGUUGUAAUCCAGCAUCAACCGUCCCACAGACGCGACGCCAUAGAGAGGGUAUCGGUUCUUCCAUCCAGGCUGGAUGCCCUUCGCUCUCCCCAGAUGACCCAGAGGACUCAAGGAUGAUUCUGUUUGGAUGAGGGAACCGAGGCCCCGAGAAGCGAAGCGACUGG